AUUGAACGCUGGCGGCAUGCCUUACACAUGCAAGUCGAACGGUAACAGGUCUUCGGAUGCUGACGAGUGGCGAACGGGUGAGUAAUACAUCGGAACGUGCCUAGUAGUGGGGGAUAACUACUCGAAAGAGUGGCUAAUACCGCAUGAGAUCUACGGAUGAAAGCAGGGGAUCGCAAGACCUUGUGCUACUAGAGCGGCCGAUGGCAGAUUAGGUAGUUGGUGGGAUAAAAGCUUACCAAGCCGACGAUCUGUAGCUGGUCUGAGAGGACGAUCAGCCACACUGGGACUGAGACUCGGCCCAGACUCCUCCGGGAGGCAGCAGUGGGGAAUUUUGGACAAUGGGCGCAAGCCUGAUCCAGCAAUGCCGCGUGCAGGAUGAAGGCCUUAGGGUUGUAAACUGCUUUUGUACGGAACGAAAAGCCCCGGGUUAAUACCCUGGGGUCACGACGGUACCGUAAGAAUAAGCACCGGCUAACUACGUGCCAGCCGCCGCCGUAA
rnacentral:rRNA from 1 species